CCCUAGGGAUCCAUGGCGGGGGAUGCGAGUCCUGGGCGGCUCGGAGGGUCCCGAUCCUCCCGAGGUCAGAGGCUCACCUGGAGUCCUCCCCUCCGGGUGGAGGAUCAUUCAUUGCAGCCAAGGCUGGCUGCUGUUGCCUCUCCUUCGCCUUCCCCGCCGCCGCCACCGGAGAAUGAGAGAAAAACAGAAAAGGAUGGGGCGGAACAGCGGCGGUGAGAGUGAUGUUGCUGCGGCCGCUGCGCUGCGGCCCGGGUUAGGUCUCCCGUCUGGGGUGGGGCAAGGGGCGGGGCCGCGGGGCGGGGAACAAGAGCCCGGCGCGGCCCUUGGGCGAGGGACAGCGGUGCAUCGCCGCCCGCACCCCACGGACCCCUCAGGGAUGACAGGCUCCGGUGCCCACCCAGGUCCCGCGCCCACCAGUCGGAUGCGGCGCAGCCACCGCCAGCCGUCACCCCACCGAACCCGAGCAUGCUGGGAGAUGUAGUCCUUCCUUUGUUAACCCGGUUCUGUCAGGUUGCUAAUGCUUUCUCCAGUCCUCAAGUCUGGGAGCCCCUCCUCCCACAUGCAACCCCUGAGUGUGUCUGCUGAGGCUGCACUACCCACGCGUGUUCUCUCGGCAACCGCCAUUCUCGGUUUCUCACUGCUCCAACCAUUUUGCUUGCAGAUGGGCACAUGUCACUGUCCUCCAUUUCUCAGGGUGUCACCAGGCCUCCUAGAGCUUAAACUCCUAAACAUUAUUGGGCUCUGUGUUUUCUCUCCCUAGUCUGGUUUACUCCUGGCCUUCCUUUUAACGCUCUGCGGGAAGCACAGUUAACUGAUUCCACCUCUUGUGUCUGUACAUGGCCUCUGGCUCCAACUACUUCUCCAUGACCUUAGGAAGGCCUGUCCAUCUUCUGACCUCUCAGCCUACCUCCACUACUCUGAUCCAGUCUAUACUCCUAAAAACCAUGCUGACACACUUUUCUAGCUCACGUGGAGCCCUGGCACUAUUCUAGGCGCCGAACCCUUCUUAAGGAGACAACAGGCUGUAAUAGAAAUGACAGUUGCACCCUUGUGCCUUUGCCCAGAGAUCCUGUUACAGUCCUUCCUCUACUGCUCUGCCACUUGGGCAGCACAAGCAUUUCAUCAUCUGUGAAGCUGUGCUGGUUAAUUUUUGUCAACACAAUCUAGAGAUGUCUGGGAAAAGGAAAUCUCGACUGAGGAAUUGCCUGCAUCUGAUUGGUCUGUGGGGUAUAUUCUUGAUAGCUAAUUGAUGGAGGCGAGAGCCCAACCCACUGUGGGAGGUGAUCCCCUGGGCAGGUAGUAAUGGGUUGUAUAAGAAAGAUAGCAGAAUGCAAGUCUGGAAGCCAGCCAGUAAAUAAUGUCUCUCCAUGAUUGCUACUUCAAGCUCCUGCCUUGAGGUCCUGAUGCCGGAACCCUGCAGCGCAAAUAAACCCUCUCCUCCCCCAGUUACUCUUGGCGGGCAGUGUUUUAUUACAGCAACAGAGAAGCAAAUUAAAUCAGAAACUCUAGGGCUGGAGAGAUGGCUCAGUGGUUAAGAGCACUGACUGCUCUUCUGAAGGACCUGAGUUCCAUUCCCAGCAACCACAUGGUAGCUCACAACCAUCCGUAAUGAGAUCUGAUGCCCUCUUCUGGUGUGUCUGAAGACAGCUACAGUGUACUCAUAUAAGUAAAAGUAGAUAAAUUUUUAAAAAGAUUUAUUUAUUUAUUUUAUGUAUGUGAGUGCACUGUAGUUGUACAGAUGGUUGUGACCCUUCGUGUGGUUGUUGGGAGUUGAAUUUUUAGGACCGCUGCUUGCUCUGAUCAGCCUCGCUCCUCGCUCUGUCCCUGCUUGCUCCGGACCAAAGAUUUAUUUACUAUACUGUAUAAGUACACUGUAGCUGACUUCAGACAUGCCAGAAGAGGGCGUCAGAUCACAUUACAAUUGGUUGUGAGCCAUCAUGUGGUUUCUGGAAUUUGAACUCAGGACCUUCAAAAGAGCAGUCAGUGUUCUUACUAAGCCAUCUCACCAGCCCCUGGAUAAAUCUUUAAAAAACAAAACCAGAAGCUUUCUCUGACUGGGUGCUUC
rnacentral:lncRNA from 1 species